rnacentral:rRNA from 1 species
CACAAUGGACGAAAGUCUGAUGGAGCAAUGCCGCGUGAGUGAAGAAGGUUUUCGGAUCGUAAAACUCUGUUGUGAGGGAAGAACAAGUACGAGAGUAACUGCUCGUACCUUGACGGUACCUCAUUAGAAAGCCACGGCUAAAUACGUGCCAGCAGCCGCGGUAAUACGUAGGUGGCCAGCGUUGUCCGGAAUUAUUGGGCGUAAAGCGCGCGCAGGCGGUCCUUUAAGUCUGAUGUGAAAUCCCACGGCUCAACCGUGGAAGGUCAUUGGAAACUGGGGGACUUGAGUACCGAAGAGGAAAGCGGAAUUCCAAGUGUAGCGGUGAAAUGCGUAGAGAUUUGGAGGAACACCAGUGGCGAAGGCGGCUUUUUGGUCUGUAACUGACGCUGAGGCGCGAAAGCGUGGGGAGCAA